rnacentral:sRNA from 1 species
GCUGGGCACGGUGGUGCAUGCUUGUAAUCCCAGUGGUUUGGGGGGCUGAGACAGGAGGAUCACUAGUUCAAAGCCAGCCCCAGCAAUUUAGCAAGGCACUAAGCAACACAGUGGGACCCUGUCUUUA